GUCCGGCGUCCGUCGUCCGUCGUCCGUCGUCUGUCGUCGUCGUCGUCGUCGUCGUCGUCCGUCGUUAACUUUUACAAAAAUCUUCUCCUCUGAAACUACUGGGCUAAUUUCAACCAAACUUGGUUACAAUCAUCAUUGGGGUAUCUAGUUUAAAAAUUGUGUUCGGUGACCCCGCCAACCAACCAAGAUGGCCGCCAUGGCUAAAAAUAGAACAUGGGGGUAAAAUGCAGUUUUUGGCUUGAAACUCAAAAACCAAAGCAUUUAGAGCAAAUCUGACAUGGGGUAAAAUUGUUUAUCAGGUCAAGAUCUAACUGCCCUGAAAUUUUCAGAUGAAUCGGACAACCCGUUGUUAGGUUGCUGCCCCUG
rnacentral:lncRNA from 1 species